AUGUCUUCCUCAAGCGCUGCCGUCUCCUCCACCCUCAAUUACAACACCUCUGAACCACUUACCCGGACGAACUACGUUCUCUGGAAAGCUCAAGCCCGAUCCCAGAUACUGGGCGCUGGCCUCUAUGGCUACAUCGACGGCACCACCGUCGAGCCUCCCAAAACCCUUACCACCAAAGACAAAGACGGCAAAGAACAGGUCACUCCCAACCCUGCCCAUACCCCCUGGCUCGUCCAGGAUCAACAGAUCGUUGCGUAUCUCCCGGGCAACCUGUCCAAGGAAGUUCUCAUCCAGGUCGCCUCGCUUGAGUCCUCCCACGCCAUCUGGACUGCCUUGGCCACCAUGUUCUCC
rnacentral:rRNA from 1 species